rnacentral:rRNA from 1 species
GACGAACGCUGGCGGCGUGCCUAAUACAUGCAAGUAGAACGCACAGUUUAUACCGUAGCUUGCUACACCAUAGACUGUGAGUUGCGAACGGGUGAGUAACGCGUAGGUAACCUGCCUGGUAGCGGGGGAUAACUAUUGGAAACGAUAGCUAAUACCGCAUAAUAUUAAUUAUUGCAUGAUAAUUAAUUGAAAGGUGCAAUUGCACCACUACCAGAUGGACCUGCGUUGUAUUAGCUAGUAGGUGAGGUAACGGCUCACCUAGGCGACGAUACAUAGCCGACCUGAGAGGGUGAUCGGCCACACUGGGACUGAGAAAAGGCCCAGAAUCCUACGGGAGGCAGCAGUAGGGAAGCUUCGGCAAUGGACGAAAGUCUGACCGAGCAACGCCGCGUGAGUGAAGAAGGUUUUCGGAUCGUAAAGCUCUGUUGUAAGAGAAGAACGGGUGUGAGAGUGGAAAGUUCACACUGUGACGGUAUCUUACCAGAAAGGGACGGCUAACUACGUG